GGAGUGUUAGCUCAGUGGUAGAGCAAUCGACUGCAGAUCGAUAGGUCUCCGGUUCAAUCCCGGAACGCUCCU